AGGAUGUUGUCGUGCUGGGACGCUAGCGGGACACCUAACCCAAAGAGGUUUUAACAUCAUAAAGGAUAUUAUUGUGGGAGGAGUCGGAGUGACCAGCCAGUAACCAGUACAUGGAUACAGCCAACUGUGCUUUCUCAGAUCCUUCACCAUCAAGGAUAGAGCAGAAAGACACCAGCAGUGAAAUCAACACAAACUACUACACCAACAAUCACCAAUAUGGCAACAUAGAAGCUGAAGGGAAUGACGGCCCCAUUCGAGUGUGAUGGUGGAGAUGAUUCAGUCUAUGGUAACGUGUGAACACAACAGGAAGCAUGUGGAAGUCAGCUGGCCCAGAGCCCAUGGUACUCAGUCUGUCAAAGGUUUCAGUAAAAUAUUAUGUAGCAGAACUGGUGACUGCUUAUAUUUGUUAGCUUGAUGUAGCUUUAUGGUUCUAAUGACAAAAGAAUAUGGUACAUUCUUAUUUGGGCUGUGGCUUUGUUAUAGCUUUUACAAGGCUUAUGUUUAUUAUCUGUGGCUUGGGUAAUUCAGAAAUGUUUUUUACUAAAUGUCAUUUAUACACAAUACAAACCAGUAUUUAGCUAUAUCUCCUUUCACACUUCCCAGAUGUCUGUUGAAAUUGUGUCUUGAGGGUAAUCUGAGGAUAGAAUACGAGUGUGGGACUUUCAGUUCCUCCAUUUGGGGUUGCUCUUUCAUUUAUUGAGAUGUUCAACGUCUGUUUAUUUCCAUAGGGUUUGAGUUAUUUCACAAUACUGAUUUUGUCAAUAUACUGCCGCAUUAGGUUUUUUGACCCUCUAUAAUAACAUACCAGUAACAGUUAUGCAAAUCAGAUUAUAAUGCAUUUGAAUUAGGUUAUGAUUGUAGCUCUGUAUACAUUAUCAAAUCUGAAUAAAUAAAACAUGUAUUCUUUAAACAAAUCCUUCAUAUGAUUUGAAAUGCAUAGAAAUUGAUUCAGUGUAUUGAAGUGUGGACAAUGUGUGUUCUCCUACCUACAUCAUUGAGAGGAUGAGAAACAUAGUCUAUUAAAUUCUUCUAAUUUAUAUUUGAAUAAUAUUCUAGUAGUCUGUUCCUAAUUAUAUUGUGAGAAAGGCCUCCCCAUACUCAUUCCUGGCAGAACAGGACAUUGUGUCCUGAUCCUCAAACUCCCCCUCCACUAAAACUGUAGCGGUUGAACCCAUUGAAACGGUUGAUGCACUUGUCCAACUGACCUCUGCAGGGGGCUGGGGAUCCACAACAAACUGACAAGUCAAAUGUCUGGUUUUGUUGCUUCAGCCCGAGUAAUCCACAUACACAUCUGGAGGGUCUGUUGGGAGAAUAUGAAACCAUUAGUUUACAGCCACACAGCAUAUGAUUUACAGGCCACUUACAGAAGUGCAAUGAGCUACAAUAACUCUGGAACUUCCCCAAUUACUAUGAUCUUCAGGAAAUACCCCUGUUAACUUGUCAUGACAAGCAAAACUAGUGAGAAACAUUAAUGUUCCAAGUAUAUCCAUUACUAGGAAGUGACUCAAUUUACUACCUGUGUCACGUCCUGACCCUUGUAAGAGGUAAUUUUCCAUAGUAGAGUGGUCAGGGUGUGACAGGUGGGUGGUUUUGAUUUUCUGUUUCUAUGUGGGGUUUAGAUUUCGAUUUCUAUGUUUUUGUUUUCUAUGUUUUGGCCAGGUAUGGUUUCCAAUCAGAGGCAGCUGUCUAUCAUUGUCUCUGAUUGGAAGCCAUUGUAAAGCUUUCGUUUGGAGAAGUAGCAGAGUCAGGCGCAGGACACAGGGAUAAGUGCAAACAAACGUGUUUACUCAAAAACCACAAUCAAAAAUUCUCCCACAUCAAAAUAACAGGGUUGGGAGAAACACCUCCAACAACCACUAAACAUGAACAAUCACGGACAAGACAGAAAGGGAAGCCAGAGGGUUACAUAAGGAACAUAAUCAGGGAAUUGAAAACAGGUGUGUAUAAUUAAGACAAAACAAAACGAACAGGGAAACAUAGAUCGGUAGUGACUAGUAAGCCGGUGACGUCAACCGCCGAACGCCGCCCGAACAAGGAGAGGAUCCGACUUCGGCGGAAGUCGUGACAGCCAUACUUAGGCAGCCUGUUUUUCAUGUGUGGGUGUGGGUAGUUGUUUUCUGUUUUGUACGUGUUACCUGACGGAACUGUUGGUGGUUGUUUUUGUUAAGUGUUUCAUUAAUAAAGUAAAUAUCAGCA